CAGGUUAAAAUGAGAUCAUAAACAGCCUUACAGGUUAAAAUGAGACAGGUUAAAAUGAGAUCAUAAACAGCCUUACAGGUUAAAAUGAGAUCAGCUCCAGCAUCAUCUUUUUUCUCUUAAAUUUUUCUUUUACCAUAUUUUAUAUAUCUUAUCCCAUAAAUAUUGAAAACAAUUUAAUUUAUUUAUUUUUGUAUAAAGUAAAAUCCUCCCUGCGAGAUUUCAGCACCAUGUUUCAUUCUAAUGCAACAAUUUUGUUAUCUGCAUUUUGAUUGGCUACUGCACUGAGGUUUGAGCCAGUUAAACGAACAUUUAUGAGAUGGAAAGAUUUCCAUUGUGACAUGUGAUAACAAAUGAGGAGAGUUAUUCAAUAAUCAAUGUACCUUAUUUUAUAUACUGGGACAAUUUAGUGUUUUGUCAAUGAAGAAAUUGACAUAAAUUUGAAACCUGCCUGAGCAAUUUGGAUUUGAAAUGUUGUUUGUGGAUUUCUGAAGUGGGUCUUGUAAUGUUUAAUGGCUUCGUCUCUUCUAUUGAAGCCAUUUCGACAUUUGUAGCAAUGCCAGUGAGCACCCUUGAAUUUCUUUUCUCCUUUGAUGAUACCAAUAAUAUCGCAAUGAUCACAGCA